rnacentral:rRNA from 1 species
GACGAACCGUGCGAACGUUGUUCGGAAUCACUGGGCUUAAAGGGCGCGUAGGCGGGCUUGCAAGUCAGGGGUGAAAUCCCACGGCUCAACCGUGGAAGUGCCUUUGAUACUGUGAGUCUCGAGGGAGGUAGGGGCGUGCGGAACUUCCGGUGGAGCGGUGAAAUGCGUAGAUAUCGGAAGGAACACCGGUGGCGAAAGCGGCGCGCUGGACCUCUACUGACGCUGAGGCGCGAAAGCCAGGGGAGCAAACGGG